CGGCGGACGGGUGAGUAACACGUGGAUAACCUACCUAUAAGACUGGGAUAACUUCGGGAAACCGGAGCUAAUACCGGAUAAUAUAUUGAACCGCAUGGUUCAAUAGUGAAAGGCGGUUUUGCUGUCACUUAUAGAUGGAUCCGCGCCGCAUUAGCUAGUUGGUAAGGUAACGGCUUACCAAGGCAACGAUGCGUAGCCGACCUGAGAGGGUGAUCGGCCACACUGGAACUGAGACACGGUCCAGACUCCUACGGGAGGCAGCAGCG
rnacentral:rRNA from 1 species